rnacentral:rRNA from 1 species
CUCGUAGGUGGUUGGUCACGUCUGCUGUGGAAACGCAACGCUUAACGUUGCGCGUGCAGUGGGUACGGGCUGACUAGAGUGCAGUAGGGGAGUCUGGAAUUCCUGGUGUAGCGGUGAAAUGCGCAGAUAUCAGGAGGAACACCGGUGGCGAAGGCGGGACUCUGGACUGUAACUGACGCUGAGGCUCGAAAGCGUGGGGAGCGAACAGGAUUAGAUACCCUGGUA